UUUGAUCCUGGCUCAGGACGAACGCUGGCGGCGUGCCUAAUACAUGCAAGUCGAACGGUUCUUUCUUUUGGAAGCUUGCUUCCGAUCGAGAGGAUAGUGGCGAACGGGUGAGUAACACGUGGGUAACCUGCCCAUAAGAGGGGGAUAACAUCCGGAAACGGGUGCUAAUACCGCAUAGUUUUUUUGAUCGCAUGAUCGAGAAAGGAAAGACGGCCUUUGUGCUGUCGCUUAUGGAUGGACCCGCGGCGUAUUAGUUAGUUGGUGAGGUAAUGGCUCACCAAGACGAUGAUACGUAGCCGACCUGAGAGGGUGAUCGGCCACAUUGGGACUGAGACACGGCCCAAACUCCUACGGGAGGCAGCAGUAGGGAAUCUUCCGCAAUGGACGGAAGUCUGACGGAGCAACGCCGCGUGAGUGAAGAAGGUUUUCGGAUCGUAAAACUCUGUUGUCAGAGAAGAACAAGUCGGAGAGUAACUGCUCCGGCCUUGACGGUAUCUGACCAGAAAGCCACGGCUAACUACGUGCCAGCAGCCGCGGUAAUACGUAGGUGGCAAGCGUUGUCCGGAUUUAUUAGGCGUAAAGCGAGCGCAGGCGGUUCCUUAAGUCUGAUGUGAAAGCCCACGGCUCAACCGUGGAAGGUCAUUGGAAACUGGGGAACUUGAGUGCAGAAGAGGAGAGUGGAAUUCCAUGUGUAGCGGUGAAAUGCGUAGAUAUAUGGAGGAACACCAGUGGCGAAGGCGACUCUCUGGUCUGUAACUGACGCUGAGGCUCGAAAGCGUGGGGAGCAAACAGGAUUAGAUACCCUGGUAGUCCACGCCGUAAACGAUGAGUGCUAAGUGUUGGAGGGUUUCCACCCUUCAGUGCUGCAGCUAACGCAUUAAGCACUCCGCCUGGGGAGUANGNNCGCAAGGNUGAAACUCAAAGNAAUUGACGGGGACCCGCACAAGCGGUGNANCAUGNGGNUUNAUUCGAAGCANCGCNNNNANNNNUNCCAGGNCNNGACAUCCUUUGACNAUCCNNGANGAUAGGNNUUU
rnacentral:rRNA from 1 species